GAUCAAAGUGUAGUAUCUGUUCUUAUCAGCUUAAUAUCUGAUACGUUCCCCAUCGGGGAACUUCGAUAUUAAACUGAUUUUUGGAACAUGGUCAAGACUCAGGGGCUUGCUCCGGCUUGACCGCGGGUUGAC
rnacentral:snRNA from 1 species